rnacentral:ncRNA from 1 species
CUGUUAUUUGAAGGGACAGAAGGUUAGUCUUCCCUUUCAAAAGGAUGGAAGAGAUCCUAUACAGUUAAGGCAUUGCCACCUACUUCGUGGUGUCUAAUCACAUCUUUCC